GUGGCAUUCGACUCAUCCAUGGCCAAAAUUCCACGUCCUGGUGAUGCAACAGUUUUCUACAAAUAACAAACACUUCAUUGUUAGCAAAGAAAAUUUUACACAAAACAUAAACUCGUUAAACUAAAACUUACAGCGGUUUUAAUGAGCUCAUCAGCAUAAGAGGAAGCAGCGCAGACAGUAAGAGAAGUGGCAUUGGUGGGAUGGCAACGGACCACUGAGACGGAAGGCUGACGAAGGCUUUGCCCCUUUAAAAACUCAGAUU